rnacentral:rRNA from 1 species
GAUGAACGCUGGCGGCGUGCCUAAUACAUGCAAGUCGAGCGAACGGACGAGAAGCUUGCUUUUCUGAUGUUAGCGGCGGACGGGUGAGUAACACGUGGAUAACCUACCUAUAAGACUGGGAUAACUUCGGGAAACCGGAGCUAAUACCGGAUAAUAUUUUGAACCGCAUGGUUCAAAAGUGAAAGACGGUCCUGCUGUCACUUAUAGAUGGAUCCGCGCUGCAUUAGCUAGUUGGUAAGGUAACGGCUUACCAAGGCAACGAUGCAUAGCCGACCUGAGAGGGUGAUCGGCCACACUGGAACUGAGACACGGUCCAGACUCCUACGGGAGGCAGCAGUAGGGAAUCUUCCGCAAUGGGCGAAAGCCUGACGGAGCAACGCCGCGUGAGUGAUGAAGGUCUUCGGAUCGUAAAACUCUGUUAUUAGGGAAGAGCAGAUGUGUAAGUAACUGUGCACAUCUUGACGGUACCUAAUCAGAAAGCCACGGCUAACUACGUG